GACAGAGGUGGCGAGCGUUGUUCGGAAUUACUGGGCUUAAAGGGCGCGUAGGCGGUGGUUUAAGUCUAGGGUGGAAUGCUACAGCUCAACUGUAGAGCUGCCUUGGAAACUGGAUUACUUGAGUCGGUGAGGGGAAGGUGGAAUUCCAGGUGUAGCGGUGAAAUGCGUAGAUAUCUGGAGGAAGGUCUGUGGCGAAGGCGACCUUCUGGCACUUGACUGACGCUGAGGCGCGAAAGCGUGGGUAGCAAACAGG
rnacentral:rRNA from 1 species